rnacentral:lncRNA from 1 species
AAACUGAAUGCGUUUAGGACAAAGAUCUCUUUGUUCCAAACCAAACACAAGUCGGUGAUGGUCUCUGUCCUCGAUAGAUAUUUAAUUAAUUAAAAAGAACAAGAGAUCCAAAAAGCAGCCGCCGUUAAUUAUCUUUAACUCCAUUACUUAUUACACUCCUCAGUGGCAGUCAGUCACCACUCUCUCUCUCUUUCACACACCUUUUUCUAGGCUUUCACCAUUUUGCUUUAGUAUAGUACUUAGGUUUAGCUCCUUUCUCCGGCAUCCAUUUGCUGCUCCGAUAAUGGAACCCUUCACACAUAGACAUUGCUCUUUUACCACAUUGCUUCUUGCAUGCCUGGUUUUCAGCCCAAUAAUGGUGGCUUCUCUAGGUAUCAACUACGGCCAAAUCGCCAACAAUCUUCCAUCGCCGGAAAACGUAAUACCUUUAGUCAAAUCCAUCGGAGCUAGCAGAGUGAAGCUUUACGAUGCAGACCCAAAAGUCCUUAAAGCAUUUGCUAAUACCAACAUUGAAUUCAUUGUCAGUCUUGGUAAUGAGUACCUUUCUACUAUGAAAGAUGCAUCCAAAGCUCAAGCCUGGGUUAAAAAAAACGUCCAAGCUUACUUACCUUCCACCAAAAUCACCUGCAUCGCCGUCGGUAACGAGGUUCUCACAUUUAACGAUACUUCCUUAACCUCCAAUCUCCUGAACGUCCAAGCUUACUUACCUGCCACCAAAAUCACCUGCAUCGCCGUCGGUAAUGAAGUUCUUACAUUUAACGAUACUUCGUUAACCUCCAAUCUCCUCCCUGCUAUGCAAAGUGUUCACACUGCUCUCGUGAAUCUCAAAUUAGACAAGGAAGUAACCGUCACCACCGCACAUUCACUUGCUGUUCUAGAAACUUCUUACCCGCCUUCCGCCGGAGCAUUCCGUAAGGAUCU